rnacentral:rRNA from 1 species
AGUGAACGCUGGCGGCGCGCUUAACACAUGCAAGUCGAGCGAUAACCAUGGCUUCGGCCAUGGGGAGAGCGGCGAACGGGUGAGUAACACGUGAGCGAUCUGCCCUCGACACCGGGAUAGCCCGGGGAAACCCGGAGUAAUACCGGAUGGCCUCUCGAGCCCACGGGCUCGCUAGCAAAGAUGGCCUCGGCUUUCGGUCGAGGAGGAGCUGGCGGCGGGUUAGCUGGUUGGUGGGGUAACGGCUCACCAAGGCGACGAUCCGUAGCUGGUCUGAGAGGACGAUCAGCCACACUGGGACUGAGAAACGGCCCAGACUCCUACGGGAGGCAGCAGUGGGGAAUCUUGCGCAAUGGGCGAAAGCCUGACGCAGCGACGCCGCGUGAGGGAAGAAGGCCUUCGGGUUGUAAACCUCUUUCAGGAGGGACGAAGCCACUCGGGUUAAUACCCCAGAGGGUGACGGUACCUCCAGAAGAAGCCCCGGCUAACUACGUGCCAGCAGCCGCCGUAA